ACGUAGGUAACCUACCCUCAGGACUGAGAUAACCCCGGGAAACUGGGGCUAAUAUUAGAUAGAUAAAAGAUACUGGAAUGUUCUUUUAUCCAAAGCUUUUGCGCCUGAGGAUGGGCCUGCGUCCGAUUAGGUUGUUGGUGGGGUAAUGGCCCACCAAGCCUACGGUCGGUACGGGCAGUGAGAGCUGAAGCCCGGAGUUGGGGACUGAGACAAGGCCCCAGGCCCUACGGGGCGCAGCAGGCGCGAAACCUCUGCAAUGCGGGAAACCGUGACAGGGGGAUCCCAAGUGCUCAUGCAUUGCAUGGGCUGUUCUUUGGUCUAAGUAACCAGAGGAGUAAGGGCUGGGCAAGACCGGUGCCAGCCGCCGCGGUAAUACCGGCAGCUCAAGUGGUAGCCGCGAUUAUUGGGCCUAAAGCGUUCGUAGCCGGAUAAGUAAGUCUUUGGUUAAAUCCUGCGACUUAACCGUGGGAAAUCUAGAGAUACUGCUUGUCUUGAGACCGGGAGAGGUUGGAGGUACUC
rnacentral:rRNA from 1 species